CCUACGGGAGGCAGCAGUGGGGAAUCUUGCACAAUGGGCGAAAGCCUGAUGGAGCAACGCCGCGUGAGGGAUGAAGGCCUUCGGGUUGUAAACCUCUUUUAUUAGAGAAGAAGCGAAAGUGAAGGUACUGGUCGAAGAGUGACCGGCUCUUUACAUACCGGAACCGGUGAUUAUAUGUCAGUGCCCGCGGCCAUACGUAUGUUUGUGGAUCCGCUC
rnacentral:rRNA from 1 species